AUUAAAAUUUAAUUAGCAAUAAAUUGUACGCCGGUUCGCGUCCGGUCACCGAAGUUAAGCAAUGUAGGGCGCGGUCAGUACCUGGAUGGGUGACCGUCUGGAAACAACGCGUGACGUUGGUU
rfam:Danaus plexippus plexippus isolate F-2 unplaced genomic scaffold DPSCF300410, whole genome shotgun sequence.